rnacentral:lncRNA from 1 species
GCCGCCUGUAGACCAGGCGUGGCGGGACGCUAAAGGACUGGGUUCUUCGGGGUGGUCGGAGAGGGGACAGGCCGGCCCUCGGGAAAUGGUGACCUGGGACACAAGCGCCCUUUUGCCCAGAAGACGCUGGUCUCCGCUGCGCCGGCCCGCAGGCUCCGCGGGGCCUGCCCCGCCGGGUUUCGCCUCGCCCCCCAUCGCUCAUUGGCUCCCCCGGGACACGUGGGUGGGGGAGGAGGCGUGGACACAGCGGCGUGGGCCGGCCGCCGGGUGGGAUGAGAGGCCCGCGGACUCGGGCGUGGGGCCGCAUGGACACGCUGGUGCUGGGCCGGUGGCGACGGCGGAGGGCGGAGGAGCUUCAGGUUCCGGGGGACGCGAAACGGGCAUGCAGGAGAGGAGAGGCGGCCGGGCCGGAGUGGGCCUGCCCCCCCACAAACCUCAGCGCCCCGGUGUCCUGGAGUGGUGAGGGGCGGCCACGUGUCGGGAUUCCUCACAACGGUGGAGGGAGCUCGGCCCAGCCUUGCCCGAGAUGUAUUGCGGGGGAGUCUGUAAGUGCAUUAACCUUCUUGUGUGACAUAAAAGACAGACUUGUUCGUAAAUAUUAGAUCCAUAAAACAAAGUUAAUAAAAAUGGCAAUUACAUUUCUAAGGAAUGAGGG